rnacentral:rRNA from 1 species
UGGGGAAUAUUGCACAAUGGGGGAAACCCUGAUGCAGCAACGCCGCGUGCGGGAUGACGGCCUUCGGGUUGUAAACCGCUUUCAGCCAUGACGAAGCUUUUGUGACGGUAGUGGCAGAAGAAGCACCGGCUAACUACGUGCCAGCAGCCGCGGUGAUACGUAGGGUGCGAGCGUUGUCCGCAAUUAUUGGGCGUAAAGAGCUUGUAGGCGGUUUGUCGCGUCGAAAGUGUAAACUCAGUGCUUAACGCUGAGCCUGCUUUCGAUACGGGCUGACUAGAGGAAGGUAGGGGAGAAUGGAAUUCCCGGUGGAGCGGUGGAAUGCGCAGAUAUCGGGAGGAACACCAGUGGCGAAGGCGGUUCUCUGGACCUUUCCUGACGCUGAGAAGCGAAAGCGUGGGUAGCAAACAGG